GACGAACGCUGGCGGCGUGCUUAACACAUGCAAGUCGAACGGAAAGGCCCUGCUUUUGUGGGGUGCUCGAGUGGCGAACGGGUGAGUAACACGUGAGUAACCUGCCCUUGACUUUGGGAUAACUUCAGGAAACUGGGGCUAAUACCGGAUAGGAGCUCCUGCUGCAUGGUGGGGGUUGGAAAGUUUCGGCGGUUGGGGAUGGACUCGCGGCUUAUCAGCUUGUUGGUGGGGUAGUGGCUUACCAAGGCUUUGACGGGUAGCCGGCCUGAGAGGGUGACCGGCCACAUUGGGACUGAGAUACGGCCCAGACUCCUACGGGAGGCAGCAGUGGGGAAUAUUGCACACUGGGCGGAAGCCUUAUGCAGCAACGCCGCGUGCGGGAUGACGGCCUUCGGGUUGUAAACCGCUUUCGCCUGUGACGAAGCGUGAGUGACGGUAAUGGGUAAAGAAGCACCGGCUAACUACGUG
rnacentral:rRNA from 1 species